GUACCUCUCUCUCUCUCUCUCUCUCUCUCUCUCUCUCUCUCUCUCUCCACCCAGUACCCACUGCCCCUUUCCACACCACCACCAUACACUACUACAUAGGCACUCUUUCUCUCAUACCCUGAGAUUCUGGAAAUCUCACUCAUAUUCUCAUUAUAGAACUGCUCAAGAGAAUACGCUGAAUCUCAAUCCUUGAUUCACUGCUUAAUCACUGCCCCAAUUUUUGAACUUUUCAGGAAACAAGCCAAAGAAGAAAUUAUAACUUUGCAACCCUCGCCAAUAUUCCCCAUUAACAUGAUGUCACUAUUCCAGAUCCCAGCCAGUGUGGCCUCUAUGCUAGAAUCAAUAAUAAGAAAUUUCCUUUGGAGCGGCUGUACUAAUGCAAACAAGUGCUAUUCAAUAGAUUGAAAUAAGAUGUAUCAAACCAAAAGAGGUUGGUGACUUAGGUAUCCAAAAACUAGUGAUUCAAAAAGCGGACCGCCUAGGCGUCCAGAAGGCCUGGGCACAUCGCCCAGGCCUAAGCGGCCAAUCUGAGCGACAGUUCCUGGGCGGCAGCCUAAGCGGAACAGAACCCACCUAGGCAGAAAGCUUUUCCUUUAUUUUCUUUUCUCUAACUCCACUUUUGUUAUCGAACACCCAUCUCUUGCACUGCCUAAGGGAUUCUUUUGUAAUUUAGCUACAACAUAAUACAGUUAACUGUUCUCAGAAAAGAAAAAAAUUGCUGCUAAAUUCAUGAUAACCAAGGAUUGGAUGUUUUUUUCCUCUUUGAAAAUUGAAGUUGAGUUUCAUGAGAGAGAGAGUGGAGCUGGACAAAUUUAAGCAAUUAGAACUGUGGAUUAUAUGUUUGUUGAACUUGCGCUGAGAGUUGUGGUGGAGAAGAGUGAUGUUUUAGGGGUAAGAAUGGAGGUGAAGAGAAAAAAAGGGCGAUUUACGUCAUUUGUAGUAGGGUUUUGCGACUGUAGCAUGUAGUUCAGCGAGAGAGAAGGGACGGUGGGUAGGGAGGAGAGAGAGAGUAGGGCAGAGACGAG
rnacentral:lncRNA from 1 species